rnacentral:lncRNA from 1 species
CUGGGAAAAGUCUUCUUCAAGAUGUAGUGGGUAUCUCCUGCUUAUACCUCUGUUGCUGUGUAGCUUGUAAGUGGAUUAAUUUUAGAAAGUUCAGCUCACAAAGUUCCUUUUCCCUUACUGACAGUCCUGUAAACUUGACUUUAGAUCUGUAACGGAUGUCACCACUUCAAAGAACUGUAAUCCUGUGUUUGAUACACUCCUCCUGCCCCCAGGACAGUAUCUGUGUGAGAGAAGGGAAGCCGGGGACCCAGAAACGGUCUGCAGGGAGGUUUUUGCUACUUCAGGAAACCGUAGUUGUUGGCUGAUAGAAAAAUUACAGCAGCAUUAUACAGUUCUUCUAUUGAGGAAAACCAGACCAGCCACUCAAGUAAUGAACCCCUCAUGACAUCUAACCAAAACUGCCGCUGAGUCUUUUGUUCCAGAAUGUUUGCGCUCUAUGGCCAGGAAAAGUCGCUUACUGGUAACCAUCUACAGAUUGAAACUCCUCUUGGGUAAGUUGUCUUAGUUUUUCCAUCCUCCUGGCCUGACUUCUUUAUAGUUGGGCAUUUCCUCCUUGACCAAAACUCCUGUAUCCUGAAAUAAUCUCCAAUGGUGAUCUAAAUUGUGUUCCAUGAACUAACUCUCUGGCUGAACCUGCAUUCAAUCUUGGUAGAAACUCCGAG